AGCACAUAGCUGCCAAUGCAUGUAGGGUGCUUUAUCGGAGACAGGUGAAUAACUACUUACUUCAACAGUUAAAUAUGAAGCAAGACCAACUAAGUGGGGGAAUUUCAGAUUUGAUGAGAGAGGAAUGUUUUAAAUGAUCUUCUGAUAGGUGAGCGUGGUUUUCUUUUAAAUACCAUAAGAUAAAACCAUCCCUGAGUCAGGUGUGGUAGCACAUACCUGCAAUCCCAGAACUUGGGAGGCAGAGGCAGGGGAAUUUCUCAGUAUGUGAAGGCAGCCUGGUCUACAAAGCAAGUUCCAGCCAUGGAUACAUAGGAAUACCCUGUUUAAAAAUAAACAAAGAAUGUAAAAAUAAACAAGAUCCCUCCUAAUGUUUGGAAGGUGGAUCCCUCUUGAAUGGGGUUAGUGCUGAGAUGAAAGAGACUCUAGGCUCCUUCCACCAUAGGAUGACAGCAAAAGACACCAACCGUGACCCAGGGAGUGGGCUAUCACAACACACCAAAUAUAUUGGCAACUUGGUAUAGGAAUUCCCAGGCUCUAGGGCUGUGAGAAAUUUCUGUUGUUUCUGAGCCACUAAUGGUAUCUAAGUAAGCAAACUAAAGAAGUGUAGGAAGAUUGUUAGGCUAGUGAAAAGCUGAGGCUAUCCAGGUGUGGGUUCAUUUUCAAAAGUGCCCCUAGCCAGUUUAGUUCCCAACACAGAUAAAGCAAAAGCACUAGACUCCUCCUAGCUAGUCUCACCCUCAAGACCGUGGUAAGCCACCCUCACACCCAAACAAGAUGUUUAGAGUAGAAAAUUACUAACAACUAAGCUUGCCAUGAGCCUGAAAAGUUUUAACAUAAACACAAUGUAAAAUGUAGAGAUGAAUCCACGCACACAGAGACGAGCCAUGCAUGGUUUUAUUGAGAAGCACAUAUAUGUAAGCAACUAUGUAGGAGAAGGAUCCCACCUAGAUGAUGUGUAAGAUAUUACUCUCUGAUUAUUCAGUAUGAGGAAAGGAAAGGAGAGUCCAGCCUUAGGGCUCAUAAACUGUUACGCUGAUGGCUGGCUUCCAAAGUCAUAUAAUAAACUCUCAUUUUCACUACUCUGAGUUUCCAGUGCUCUUAUUAUGGAGGGAGGCACAUUGUUUCUCACAACAGAUGAAUGUGAUGGGAGGCUAGUAGAGCAAAAAUGUGAAGGGAUUUGUGAGGACAUAAUUGCAAUAAUGGACUGCGGAGCCUCAGCUGGGUAGAAAUUAAAGUGGUUAUUUGAAGAUAUAAAAGCAAUGAUAAGGCCUGUUGUGCAGGCUUAUUCCUGUAAUCUCAGAACUCAGUGGAGGCAGGAGGAUCUGGAAUUCUGGAACAGCCUAUGCUAUCCAAUUUCACAAGAGAUACAUUGGCUGGUGCAUUGCUCAGUGGGUAUAGGCACUUGCUGCCAAGCCUGACUGACCUGAGUUCAAUCCCUGAACUCCACAUGGUGAAGGAGAGAACUCAGUCCUGGGAGUUGUCAUCUGACCUCCACGGGUGUGUUUUAGCAUGCACUCAACUAUACUACCACACACAUAUCAUAUAUACACACUGGAUAAAUUUUUAAAAAAUUUAGAGACAUAUAGAAAAGCAUCCUGUGUCCUACAAAAGAGAUGAUGUAUAUUCAAUGACAUUUGCUGUUGUUUUCGAAUAGCAUCUGUGAAAGGAAUAGUGCUUGAGAAUGAAAACAAUAGAGAAUUGUAUGCAUGAGGUAUUAAUUCAAUUUUGUACAUCUGAAAUUAACAUAAAUAAUGAGUGUUCUCACAAGCAUAUUUUAGCAUAUGUUUGUGUAUUGUUGAAAGGGGAACAAGUCACAUACUAUAUAUUUUGGAAGCGUAUUUAAUGUAUAUGAAUAUAUAUUGAAUGGGAAGCACAUCAUAUAUGCUAUACUGCUAUUGUACACUGGUGACACUUUUUGAGGCAAAAUAUUGCUGUGUAAGCCUAGCUCUCUUGCAGCUCACUGUGCAACCAGUUCAAAGCUUGCAGCAAUUCUUCUGCCUCUGUCUCCCAAGUGCUGCUGGGUCAUAGGUAUUAGCCACCGUGCCUUCUAGACUACAAUCUGCUAUUUUUGGAGACAAGGUCAUCCUAGUAGUCCUGGCUGGGCUAGCACUCAUUAUAUAGACCAUGCUGGUAUUAAACUCACAACAGUCUUCCUGCAUUUGCCUCCCAAGUGCUGGGCUUGCAAGAGUAAGUAAUCAUGCUUGGCUUUGCAAUAUGCUUUUAAAAUUUACUAUAGGUUUUCAUAUUUUUCUGUGUUAAGCACAUGAUUCAUAUCACAUUUUAGAAAUUAAAGAUUCGAAUUGAUGGUUAUAUUACAAUUUAAACCAACUCUACAUAAAUCAGUAUCUAUCUAUCUAUAGGUAUCUAUCUACAUACCUACCUACCUACCUACACACUGACAUAUGAGGUUGAAUAACCCAGGGGUUUGUAUAUGCUAGCCCAUCACUCCACCACAGAGUUACAUGCCUGUUCCUCAAUGGUCAAGUUUUAAAAAUAGUAUUAUAAGGCCAAGUGGGUUGACAGAUGCCCAUAAUCACAGCAGUUGAGACUGAGAUAGCAGGAUUCUUGCAAAACUGUAAGUGAUGGAAAAUCCCAGGCCAGCUAGGGCUACAUAGUAAAACCUUGUCUUGGAAAAAAUGGUAUUCGACAUUAUACUUUCAAAUAGUUAGAUGUGCAAAACACGAUAUGAUGCUUAAGUGCAAAUGGGACCAAUCAAAAAUAUUGAAAAAUGAGAUUUCAAAUAAAUGGCUUCUACAUCUGCCAGCUUAAGCCUCCACCUUUGUGGACCUAUAACGAUGCCAAAGCCACCAGUAGUGUCAAUGAUCAAAUAUCAUCAUGUUGUUUCUCUUUCUCUAUAGCUUUCCAUAGACGUAUCUGGCCUGGAGAAACUGACUGGAAUUUUUUCACUGAUAAGGUUUCUUUGUGUGCCCACCCCUAGCUGUUCUGCAACUUGCUCUGUAGACCAGGCUAGCCUUGGACUCAUGGAGAGCCGCCUGCCUUUGCUUCCCGAUUACUGGGAUUAAAGGUGUGCUCCACUGCCCGGCUGCUGACGCUGUUGCUGCUGAUUCUUUAACUGACACAGAACCAGCUUCCUUGGGCUGCCAAUGUGGACUGGAGACCCUGCUGCUGAUCCCUUGGCUGGUUUUUGGAACCAGCUACUUCGAGCUUCUAAUGUGAACUGAUCAUCAACUUUUUAAUGAGUCUUCUAGGUCUCCAGUACCAUACUGGGACAGUAGAGACAUCCAGUCCCAUGGAUUGAGAAAGUACUGCGUUCCCGGUGGCCUCUCUGGUGUAAAACAGAUCACAUUGUGUAAGCCACUCCAAUAAAUGCACACUUAAAAUUA